AUGUACCACAUAAGCGUUGCUGAUGAGCACUGCGGCCUGCUUGCCGCCUUCCUGCUCGACGAGAAGUACACCUUUGUUGGGGUGGACAUCAACAAUGACGAGAAAAAACUCGAGCGUGUUGGUCUGGUGGUACGAAACUUUGUGGAUAUCCAGAGUUUGUGGAGAGUGCCUGAUCCAGUGACGAUUAAGCUGAAGUAUGGCUUGGCUGACUAUGCUGGUUCCAUCAUCCACCACAGCUACAACAAGAUGAAGGAUGCUAUCACAGAAGAUGACCACCAUAUAUGGGCAGAAGCGCCCUUGCCCUUGAAGAACAUCUAUUAUGCUUCCAGGGACGCGUAUGCCACCUACGAUGUAUACAGGCGACUGGUGAACUCCCAAAAGGGGUUCGAGAGUCUGUGCCAACAUCUCGCCAAACCAUCUAGGCGGUCAAGGAAGUCCGAAAGCAAGAAUGAAUCAAACUAA
rnacentral:rRNA from 1 species